ACAGCUGCAGAUCGAGAGCAGCGGCACAUCUAUUUACCAAAAUUAAGCAUGCUCUGUGUGAGGCUGCGGAGGUGGAGAUCUUCAGCAGGGUGGGUCGCCCUCCUCUUUGUCCAAUGAGAUGUCGAUGAUAGCGUCCGGUGCUGCUAGCUUGGUGAUGCGGCUAGUGUCCGCAGCGAUGAUGUGUGUGGCGCUGCGGAUGCGGUUGGCCUGGCCGUCUGGUUCUGCCGCCGGAAGGGGAAGGAUAGUGUGAGCGUGGAGCGGUCUUGAAUUUCAUCUUUCUUGGAGGCUGUCUGUGGAGGAUAGUACCUAAGUUUGUCGGUCCGCGGGUGUCGUUGGAGUUGGCUGGGGAAAGGUUCUUGGUACAGCUGGUUCUGCGGAUCUUCUUCGGUGGCUUUUCUGGCGGGUGGCCGUGUCCUCGAUCAAGUGUGGGCUGAGCUGCAACUAACGGGGGAGGGCAACAGCGGUGGGAUGAGAUUUGGAGGGUGGCAAUGGCAGAUGCGAGCAUGGAUCUGGUGCACAUAGUAGAAAUCUGGGCGGAGGAGAAGGCUGGCUAAGAUUCGGGCCUGGACGCACAGGCGCUAAAGACGAUGGGGCUCCGCUAGAUUCAGGAAGAGGAGUCUCGUGAGCGAGCUGGUGAUGAGCGGGCUGGUGGUCAGAACAGGAAUGCCGCACAUGAGCUUGUGUUGGACCGUUACUACUCGCUAUUGCAUCUGCAAGGCUGCAGAGUCUCUAAAUGGGCAUGGCGAAGUUUGCGCCACUUGUAUGUGUCCACUUUAAGGAGCACUACAUAAGAUACAUCGGGGUCUUGAUGCCAAAAUUUGACAAACUGGUUGUCUGAUAAGAAGGCAGGUCUGUAGCCUAGCUGCCUACUUUCCUUGUUCUGGUCAUGUGUUGCGUGUGCAGACAUGGCAGCGGCUGUAAUAAGAAUAGGCUGCCAAAACUACGGUUUUCUACAAUGGUAUAUGAAGUGUGCAACGGAUAAGCAUGUUAGACGAUCAACCUAGUAAAGCUAGCCUUAUUGUUUAUCUGCAAGAAAUUCCUUGGCAGGUCUUCUUUCUCAUGUUGUUUGCACUCCAAGUGAUGGACAGAUUUGUUGAUGGGUGCAACAAUGUAAUUUGGUUUGCAAUAUACUAUCGAUGAGGAGGUAUACCUUUUUUUUGGUUCCUGAUUUGUCUUUCAUGGGAUAAGAUCAGUUAAUCUCGUUACCACUCCAACAAUAUCUGAAACAUACAGUAAAAGAAAGAACUGAAAGAACAUGACAACAGACAAUACAGUACGCAAUUAGUGCACAGGCCUUGCUGAAAAUCUGACAGGAGAAAUUUUGUUCCUCUGCAUGGCAGGGCAUCAUCACAUACAGAGGAAAGUUUUCAAGUUCCGGUAGAACCUGGGUGAUUUUUAUGUUCUGGUUAAUUCUGAUAUAUUACGGGUGAUCUGCUAUCUUGCAUUUGGGCCGGGCAGAUCAUGUAUAAACGACCAUCAUAUCUUCGGAUAAUUAGUGGCACCAUAGGCUGAAACUUACUGCUAGUUGUGCUGCGUAAAAAAAAAUUGAGAGCAUACAUUCCAAGCUAAAUGCAUGAAUUUUGUGUGCAGGAGAUGGUGGCGAAUUUAAGGAUGUAAAUAUUCAGUUAGCAAGCAUUGAUGCCGAAAUCAAGGAUGUAAAUAUUAAGUUAGCUCUAAUAUAUUGAAAAGUAAAGCCAGUUGAGAGUAGAUCAAACACUAAUAGAUAAUUAAAUGCGCUCAGAUGAUAUAUACUAUUAUAGCUUUCCCUAUCUAAAGGAUGAGUAAGUAUUGAUAAUUAAUUAGAUGAUAAGGCCAGGCUAACUGCUUAG